rnacentral:rRNA from 1 species
AUAUGAAGGCCGGGCUGGAACCCUCUGGGGGGUGACAGCCUUGACUGAAUUAUUCACCCUUGUCUUUUGCGUACUUCUUGUUUCCUGGGUGGGUUCGCCCACCACUAGGACAAACAUAACGUUUUGUAAUUGCAAUCAGCGUCAGUAACAAAUUAAUAAUUACAACUUUCAACAACGGAUCUCUUGGUUCUGGCAUCGAUGAAGAACGCAGCGAAAUGCGAUAAGUAGUGUGAAUUGCAGAAUUCAGUGAAUCAUCGAAUCUUUGAACGCACAUUGCGCCCUUUGGUAUUCCAAAGGGCAUGCCUGUUCGAGCGUCAUUUGUACCCUCAAGCUUUGCUUGGUGUUGGGCGUCUUGUCUCUAGCUUUGCUGGAGACUCGCCUUAAAGUAAUUGGCAGCCGGCCUACUGGUUUCGGAGCGCAGCACAAGUCGCACUCUCUAUCAGCAAAGGUUAGCAUCCAUUAAGCCUUUUUUUCAACUUUUGACCUCGGAUCAGUAGGAUACCGGCAGACUAAAAGGAAGG